rnacentral:rRNA from 1 species
UACGAAGGGGGCUAGCGUUGUUCGGAAUUACUGGGCGUAAAGCGCACGUAGGCGGAUAUUUAAGUCAGGGGUGAAAUCCCAGAGCUCAACUCUGGAACUGCCUUUGAUACUGGGUAUCUUGAGUAUGGAAGAGGUAAGUGGAAUUGCGAGUGUAGAGGUGAAAUUCGUAGAUAUUCGCAGGAACGCCAGUGGCGAAGGCGGCUUACUGGUCCAUAACUGACGCUGAGGUGCGAAAGCGUGGGGAGCAAACAGG